GAUGAACGCUGGCGGCGUGCCUAAUACAUGCAAGUCGAGCGAACAGACGAGGAGCUUGCUCCUCUGACGUUAGCGGCGGACGGGUGAGUAACACGUGGAUACCCUACCUAUAAGACUGGGAUAACUUCGGGAAACCGGAGCUAAUACCGGAUAAUAUAUUGAACCGCAUGGUUCAAUAGAGAAAGUCGGUUUUGCUGUCACUUAUAGAUGGAUCCGCGCCGCAUUAGCUAGUUGGUAAGGUAACGGCUUACCAAGGCAACGAUGCGUAGCCGACCUGAGAGGGUGAUCGGCCACACUGGAACUGAGACACGGUCCAGACUCCUACGGGAGGCAGCAGUAGGGAAUCUUGCGCAAUGGGCGAAAGCCUGACGGAGCAACGCCGCGUGAGGGAUGAAGGUCUUCGGAUCGUAAAACUCUGUUAUUAGGGAAGAACAAAUGUGUAAGUAACUAGGCACGUCUUGACGGUACCUGAUCAGAAAGCCACGGCUAACUACGUG
rnacentral:rRNA from 1 species